rnacentral:rRNA from 1 species
CRUGSSGMSGCUAMCAUGCAGUCGAACGGUAGCACAGAGAGCUUGCUCUCGGGUGACGAGUGGCGGACGGGUGAGUAAUGUCUGGGAAACUGCCUGAUGGAGGGGGAUAACUACUGGAAACGGUAGCUAAUACCGCAUAACGUCGCAAGACCAAAGAGGGGGACCUUCGGGCCUCUUGCCAUCAGAUGUGCCCAGAUGGGAUUAGCUAGUAGGUGGGGUAACGGCUCACCUAGGCGACGAUCCCUAGCUGGUCUGAGAGGAUGACCAGCCACACUGGAACUGAGACACGGUCCAGACUCCUACGGGAGGCAGCAGUGGGGAAUAUUGCACAAUGGGCGCAAGCCUGAUGCAGCCAUGCCGCGUGUAUGAAGAAGGCCUUCGGGUUGUAAAGUACUUUCAGCGGGGAGGAAGGUGUUGYGGUUAAUAACCRCAGCAAUUGACGUUACCCGCAGAAGAAGCACCGGCUAACUCCGUGCCAGAGCCCGCGGUAAA